rnacentral:rRNA from 1 species
GAGGUUGGCUUCGGCCAGCCUAGUGGCGGACGGGUGAGUAAUGCGUGGGAAUCUGCCUCGUAGUGGGGGAUAACGUAGGGAAACUUACGCUAAUACCGCAUACGCUCUACGGAGGAAAGGGGGGGAUCUUCGGACCUCUCGCUAUGAGAUGAGCCCACGUCUGAUUAGCUAGUUGGUGGGGUAAAGGCCUACCAAGGCGACGAUCAGUAGCCGGCCUGAGAGGGUGGACGGCCACACUGGGACUGAGACACGGCCCAGACUCCUACGGGAGGCAGCAGUGGGGAAUAUUGGACAAUGGGCGAAAGCCUGAUCCAGCAAUGCCGCGUGUGUGAAGAAGGCCUGCGGGUUGUAAAGCACUUUAAGUGGGGAAGAACGGGAUUGCGCUAAUACCGUGAUCCUUUGACGUUACCCACAGAAUAAGCACCGGCUAACUCCGUGCCAGCAGCCGCGGUAAUACGGAGGGUGCGAGCGUUAAUCGGAAUUACUGGGCGUAAAGCGCAUGUAGGCGGUUUGGUAAGUCGGAUGUGAAAUCCCUGGGCUUAACCUGGGAAUGGCAUUCGAUACUG